AGCCAUUUUUACAAUCUAAUAGCCUACCUACCAUCCAGGUUUCAUAGUGUGGCAUAAGAGUCGUUGUAAUAGUAUCUCAGGGGUCAUCUGGUCGUUGAAAAUCCACAUGCCACUCGUUGGUCGGUAGGUUUUCCAGUCGUUGGUCGGUAGGUUUUCCAGUCGUUGGUCGGUAGGUUUCUUAGUAGCUAGUUUGGUCACAGCUCACUUAAC